ensembl:snRNA Gm22364 predicted gene, 22364
GUGCUCACUUUGGCAGCACAUAUACUAAAAUUGGAAUAAUAUUAGCAUGGUCUCUGUGCAAGGAUGACACACAAAUUCAUGAAGAGUUCCAUAUAUUU